rnacentral:rRNA from 1 species
AUGGCGACGAACGAGAGAACCGUCGCGUCCGUCGACCCCGACGUCGCGCUCGCCUACAGGUUCCCCGAGGUCUCCUUCGCCUACGACGAGAGGGACGUGGCGCUCUACGCGCUCGGCGUGGGGGCCUGCGGCGCGGACGCCGUCGACGACAAGGAGCUCCACCUCGUGCACCACAGGGACAGCCAGCGCCACAUCAAGGUGCUUCCUACCUUUGUUUCUUUAUUUCCUAACAAGAACAGCAAUGGGCGUGGAAUUGUUAAUGUGCCUGGCAUUCACUUCGAUGAAAGCCUUCUAUUGCACGGUCAACAAUACAUAGAGAUCUACAAGCCAAUUCCUUCAUGUGCCAGUGUUGUAAACAAGGUUAAGGUAGCUGGUUUGCACGACAAAGGGAAAGCAACAAUUCUUGAGAUUGAAACUACGACCAGUCUCAAGGAUUCUGGCGAAGUGUUAUGUAUGAACAGGAGCACUAUUUUCUUGCGUGGUGCGGGAGGUUUUUCGGACUCUUCCAGGCCAUACUCGUAUACAACUUAUCCUGCCAACCAGAUUUCUCGCAUUUCCAUUCCAAAUUCCACACCUUCCGCAGUGCAUGAAGACCAGACACAACAAUCCCAGGCACUCUUAUACAGGUUAUCUGGGGAUUAUAAUCCUUUGCAUUCAGACCCUAUGGUUGCACAGAUUGCAGGAUUCACUCGUCCAAUACUGCACGGCCUCUGCACUCUGGGGUUCGCGGCCAGGGCAGUCAUCAAGUCUUUCUGCAACGGGGACCCAGCAGCGGUGCGGAACAUCUUCGGCCGGUUCCUGCUGCACGUCUACCCCGGCGAAACGCUGGUCACCGAGAUGUGGGUCGACGGCCAGAGGGUGCAGUACCAGACCAAGGCGAAAGAGCGUGACCGCGCCGUGCUUUCCGGAUACGUGCUGCUCAAACACAUCCCCUCAUCAUUGUCUUCACAUGCAGAUAAUGGAGGAGGCCGGCUGUAG